rnacentral:misc_RNA from 1 species
GCAGAGGUCUGCUGGCGCGA